CCAACGACCAAUCAUAGGCCGGGAACCGUUACCUGGGCAGUAGGAGGAUUUCAGCCAAUCAAAAGCGAGCGAGGAAGCGGUAGGGAACACCUGCAGCCAAUCAGAAAAGCAAGCGAUGGCAGUGCAUUGCACUUUUAUGUUCUACUAAACCAUCCUCAGCUUAAUAAAAGUUUGUAAUAUUGCUCUCCACUACACUUACAUUUGAAGAGCUGACAGAUUCCUACAGAAUGUCAGAAGGAACCAUUUUCUCUUCAAGCUGGAUUUCAGCAUAACCAAGAGAUGGAAACAAAUUUUAUCUUGUCAUCUUUAUUCAUCCUGCCUAAAAUCUCGCACAACACACUGUAAAUCACAGGGGCUCCGUUCUUCUUGCUGCAUAACCCGGUCCUAAUCUUUUAGAAAGCAAUGAUCCCUCUUCUGAAAGAUAACAGUGAAAGAAACUAUGGAGGAAAGAAAAUGGAUGCUUCUACCAUUGAAGACAUGCAAUUGUCAUUUCAGAGGAUGGAAGAAAACAGUGAAAAUUUUAAACAAACAAGACUUAACCCUGAGGACCAAGUUUUCACCUCGGUUCCUCAAGAAUCCUCUUUUUAUUGCUUUCCCUCAACCAGACUUAGUAGUGCUGUCCUAAAUUCUCAUUAUUGGUCCAGCCAGCAUUCAGUUUGAUUGAAAGACAGGCAUUCUUAGAUCAAAAUAUUCCACAUUCAAGAAGUGCCUGAUGGAUCCUUCAAUAAGCAUGCACAGAACCGCCAUUGUAGGCAAUCUGACAAUAAUCACAGCUGAUAUAUUAAAUGAUAUAUUAAAGUAUAGGUUCAAUUUUAAAAUACUACAUGCCUUAUCAUUUAUAAACAAUAUAUAGAUGCCUCUUUUCUUUUAUAUAUAUGCACAUAUGAGCUUGCAUAUGUAAAAGUUGCACACACAACCUGGAAAGAUGAGGGUAGAAUAAUCUUAAAUAUAUCUAUGAAAGCGUAGUAAGUUUAAGAUGUACAGAAAUAGAUCUUUUGUGUUUGUCUAACUCUGAAAGAAAUGUAGCAAUAAAGGAUGAACAGUCUGGAUGGAGUAUUAUACCAGAUGUUUUACAGAUUACUCUGUAUUUCACCACUCAAUCUUUAUUUAAUCUUAAGACUGUAGUAAUUGUAAUACUGGAAUAGCUCAAUGGCCUAUAUAUUAUUUUGCUACUUCAACUAUGCCUGUUCCACAUUCCUACCCCUUAAAACUGGCCAAUUAUUUAUUGUAAUGUAAAGAAAAAUGUCCCCCCUACCCCAUCUGGUAACCCAAUGUAUGAAAAUUGAGAAUUUGAUGAUAUCUGUGCUAGCAAAGGUAAUUCUCGGUGCUCUUGUUCAGAUUACUUGCUCAG